rnacentral:lncRNA from 1 species
CACAACUCUUUAUUUAUUUGAUUUUUUAUCUAUAUGCCAGAUAGGGCUGGCUGUUGUAAUAGGAGCCACCAGCAGCCCUGGAUGGAGAAAAGAUGGUCCAGGAGACAGACAUACCUACAAUGCUGCAUAGGCCAGGCCUGGGUGCUGGGCCUGAGCUUACAUGGAUCCUGGGGAGAUGAGCAGGCCUGUGUGGCUGAGGGUCCUAGCUGAGGCCACUCAGGGCAAUGGCAGCCUACAGGUGCCCUCAGGGCUGUCACACUUGGAGGUGCUUUGGUUUAAAUUGGACAUAAUGCAUGGGAAUAGGGCUGCUUAGGUUCUGGUUGGGUGGUUCUUCCUUUUUGUGUGCCUGCCCUGAUAGUGCUGCAUGUAUGGGGGGAAAUAGACUGGCUACAGCACCCCAAGGGUCUGUUUGUCUUUCCUUUGAAACUACAACGUGGUGGAUUCAGCAACAUGAGUUCUUCAGAAAAACAAAAUGCAAGUGGAGAGAACACAGAGAAAUGCAAGGGUAAGUAAUAAGAUCUGAAAGUUAAAAGGUUGAGUAAAUUCAAAUAUGGUACACUUAUCUGCAG